UACGAAGGGGGGCUAGCGUUGCUCGGAAUCACUGGGCGUAAAGCGCACGUAGGCGGCUUCUUAAGUCAGGGGUGAAAUCCUGGAGCUCAACUCCAGAACUGCCUUUGAUACUGAGGAGCUUGAGUCCGGAAGAGGAGAGUGGAAUUCCUGGUGUAGCGGUGAAAUGCGCAGAUAUCAGGAAGAACACCCGUGGCGAGGGCGGCUCUCUGGGACGGGUACUGACGCUGAGAGACGAAAAGCUAGGGGAGCGAACAGG
rnacentral:rRNA from 1 species